AAAGUCGUAACAAGGUUUCCGUAGGUGAACCUGCGGAAGGAUCAUUAAAUAUAUCUGGGACACCAAGGAGGUUCCCUGACCCAAUCUCUCUCUGUGUACCAAUCCAUGUUGCUUUCCCAGGUAUCCAGUCCAUGCUGCCUGCAAUUGAUUCAUAAUGCUAUGUCAACUCUUGUGCUCCCAGGUAGGGUGAGCUCAACGGGCCUCUGUCAGAGUGAGCUCAAUGGGCCCCUAUCUGGGAGAAUUAUGCAGGACGGCCUGGGAAAGGUCCAAGCAAAAGCAAAUAAUUGAACAGCCAGUCUGAGCAGGCCUAGGGCCUCAUGAUUUGAACAUGUUAAAACUUUCAACAACGGAUCUCUUGGCUCUC
rnacentral:misc_RNA from 1 species